GAUUUAUUGGGUUUAAAGGGUGCGUAGGCGGAUGAAUAAGUCAGUGGUGAAAGGCUGCGGCUUAACUGUAGACUUGCCGUUGAUACUGUUUAUCUUGAGUGUGGUCAAGGCAGGCGGAAUGUGUAAUGUAGCGGUGAAAUGCUUAGAUAUUACACAGAACACCGAUUGCGAAGGCAGCUUGCUGGGCCAUUACUGACGCUGAUGCACGAAAGCGUGGGGAGCGAACAGGAUUAGAUACCCUGGUAGUCCACGCCGUAAACUAUGAUCACUAGCUGUUGGCGAUACACAGUCAGCGGCAAAGCAAAAGCAUUAAGUGAUCCACCUGGGGAGUACGGCCGCAAGGCUGAAACUCAAAGGAAUUGACGGGGGCCCGCACAAGCGGAGGAACAUGUGGUUUAAUUCGAUGAUACGCGAGGAACCUUACCUGGGCUUAAAUGUAGAGUGCAUGAGGUAGAAAUACUUCUUCCCUUCGGGGCUCUUUGCAAGGUGCUGCAUGGUUGUCGUCAGCUCGUGCCGUGAGGUGUCGGGUUAAGUCCCAUAACGAGCGCAACCCUUAUCGUUAGUUGCCAGCGGGUAAAGCCGGGAACUCUAACGAAACUGCCGGUGUAAACCGAGAGGAAGGUGGGGAUGACGUCAAAUCAGCACGGACCUUAUGUUCAGGCUCACACGUGUUCAAUGGCCGUACAGAGGGCAGCUACCUGGAACAGGAUGCGAAUCUC
rnacentral:rRNA from 1 species